rnacentral:lncRNA from 1 species
CUUAAAUUCAAGCUAAGGGAAACGUGGAAAGGAAAAUAAGAGAUGACAGCAUCGUCUGUUUAGGCUGUUAGAUAUAUAAACUUCACUUAUGUAGCCGGCACCUUAAAAAACACAUUUCUCUCCUAAAGUGUCUUUAGAAAAUACAUCCAUGACGGACUGGCUGAGUGUGCCCAGGUUAGAACUUGGCUGUGUCUGUCCCUUUCCUGAUUUUUCUUUCUGAAAAGUGAAAACAACUCUGGAUCGCUUGUAGGCAUAGGGCGUUGCAUGUCCUUGCUGGGUGAACACAGAUGCACGUCAUGUAUUAAUUGGCGGUGAAGAAAGGUUAUAGCUGACAUGACAAACACGGGACGUUCUGCGGCAUUUGAAUCCACUUUCAAAGAGUUGCUGGAAAGGCAGCAUUGCCUCAGUGAUGUCAUGUGUGGAGUUGAACAGAGUAUUUGCUGCGCUGGAGAAAACUAAUGGAAACAUUCACUUGGGGUAAGACAAAUGGUAUUAAAUGAGAAAACACACCAUGAAUUGCAAAUGGGGCUGAGUUAAUUUGUUGCUACAGUAGUGUUGCCCUACUGUUAAAUGAAGGCUGUGUAAUUAUCUUGCUGGCAGAGAUAAUGUCAAAACCUCAUUUCUCCUUACAUGCCUCGUUUUUACAUGAGGGCUAAUUGAGCUGCAAGGUGACAACUGAUUAUAUAUGGUCCUCUUGCUCAAUUUGCAAAUCAUGUUACCCUUUUUUGAAGUAAGGAUUUUUAUCAGACCUCGAGUGAGGUAGUAAAGAAACUUUUUGAACGGUUUGAGUGAUUUGCAACAUUCUUGUCCAUCUGGAAAUUGUUUUGGAAUAAAUUAUCCUUUUAUAGAUAUUCCUUUAAAACGUUCUCGUGACUCUUCUGACGCAUGUAUAUACCGUAGGUAGAGGAGCGAGCCACACUCACUAUUAAAAAACGCUUUUUAUUUCGUCGAACAAAUUCAAAAAAAAAACACACACUUUUUAUCUUGUAGAACCUUACAGUUCUGUUCAGUCAAAAUGUAUUUGUUUUCUACUUCUUUAAUUUACAAAAAUUUAGGCUUUUUUUAGGCAUUGAAAAUUCAAUGUCAGACGUUCAAAUAAUAGAGAAAAAGUACUUUGUUCAUCUGUCCAUUGAAUUAAAUGUCUUUUUUUUUUUUUUCUUUUUUGGAUAAUAAGACUGUCCUCAUUAGCCUGUAAGCCUUUUCUGUCUCACUACCACGGUAGGUCUUAGUAGAAAGAAAGUCUUAUUAACUGCAACUCCACCCAGGAGGCAGCAUGUUAUUCAGUAAAAUUUUCUGUUUGCUAAAAAUCGGAAGGUUGAACAGUAUAACUAGUUUUUGUGCUUGUUGAUGUUCCUGCAUGUACACUAGACACGAUUCAUUAUCUCCGGAAAAGACUAAGUGGCCGAACAGCUGUAGUUGGAAUAAAUGGACACGUCUUCACUCUGUUGGAGACUCUCCAGGCUUAGUGUGAAAUCCCGAAAACGAAUUCCAGCUGAGAUUAUUAAACACAAAUAGCAGGAAGGGGCGUCUUCAGUUCUUGUGGACUAGCUUGCGUUUGACAAUAAAGAGUCAGAUGAGUUUGGAAGCUCUUUGGAAUCUAAAGGUUGACUGGAACUCGGUGGGAACCCCAGAGCAUCUUAGCACCUGGCCUAGGGUAUUACCAAGAAAAGCAGUGGCAGCAAAAACUUAAUAAGAAGUGAAAAUGGUGUGUUGCAAAAUGUUUUAGAGUACUUUUACAGUUUUCAAAGUUUACUGCCAGAAAACAGCAGGAGGAGUAGCUGACCUGCAACCGUCUCCUUACUUGCUAAGCAUCUCAGUUGAUCUUUACGGGUGAUGUGUGCAAUACAUAAUAUCGCCCGUUUUUAACACAUGAAGAAGCUGGAGUACGCAGAGACUAAGUGGCUUAUUCAGGAUCACGCUGCCAGUGGGUGACUCACUUGAUACUCAUCAGCCGCUGCAGCUGGGGCAUGUACGUCCAUCUAAGUGGGAGGUCCGUGAGUGGAACAACUAGUUCCAGGUUAAACAGCUAGCAAAUGCAGAGCUGGGGUUCACAGACCAGUCUUUUGGCUCGAAGUCUGUUACUGUGGCUCUUGUCUUUGCUAUUUUCCAUUGCUGUUCAGAAGACCAGGCCUUAUGUUUUCUUGAUCAGGGUUUUUCUGUCCUAGUAGUUUUCCACCUGUUCUGCGGAGCCCAUGGCUCCCCUCGGGUGCCUCGGGCCUAGCGUCGGUGCCAGGAAGUGGUGAAGAGGAUAGGAAGCCAGCCUGCUGUCAGUCAUCGUAAUUCAUUCAGCCCGAGGGUUCUGCGCAAGAAUUUAUUGGGAAAGUUUCCACUGCCUGAAAAGUUAUAAAAUGAGCUCUUGCUCCAUGUACUAUUUUUGCUGGAACUCUGUACCAGCGGAUGAAGUUAAUAUGAAAACAUAUACAUGUAUAUUUAAUUAUAUUUCACACAUAUGAAAUAUAAUUAAAUUUUUAUUUCUAUACUUUUGGCCCCUCCCUCAACACUGGAGCCCCUGUCAGUCACUGCAGAUUGCUGCAAGUUGAGAUUGACUCCUGGGGUGCCAGGGUGGCCGUCAUUUUCCUGUACCCUGGUGCCUGGGAGUAAAGGGGGGAAUAGGUAGUAUAUGCACGGGGUGGGAAAGGGUGUCAGCGUGCCUGAGAGAAGAGGUACAUUCUUUUGUGAAAUUCCAGUGUACCUGCUUGAAGAAACUCAAACCAGAAACAGUUCUCAAAGAGAAGGGAGUUAACAUUCUGUCCUUAAGAGCUUGGCACUGCCCAGAAAAGAUCCUCUGGGUCAGCUCAAAAGCAAAGCAGGAAUUCCCGUUGUGACUCAGUGGUUAAUGAACCUGACUAGUAUCCACGGGAAUGUGGGUUUGAUCCCUGGCCUCUCUCAGUGGGUUAAGGAUCUGGCAUUGCCAUGAGCUGUGGUGCAGGCCAGCAGCUGCAGCUCCGAUUGGACCCAUAGCCUGGGAACCUCCAUAUUGCUGCAGAUGCGGCCCUAAAGUG